GUGUCUGCCAGGGCAGCAUCACCCAAGCUGCAGCAGCGCCCCAGCUCGCCCCAGGAUCAGCUGAGGACCCGGUCUGUUUGUGCCGACAUCAGCAGAGGCACUGCUUAGCCCUCUCGCUGCUCGCAUGAGCCUCUGCAACCGUGCUGGCCGCUGGUGCCAGCAGCGGCUACCCCGACGAUACAACACCACCCGAGCCACCCCAGAGCGCCACCUGCCCUUGGACCAACCCCCCUUGCGUCGUACCGUACUGCCCAGCCCUGCUGCCGCCCGAUGUUGCCCUCUGCCGUCGCCAGGGUGUGUUGCCGCCAUUCCUAUCUAUUGCUACCGUAGAACUGACCUCGCCCGAGUAUUUAAGGAACCCCUAGCUCCCCCAGACCCGCAGAAAGCCUGUCUGAAACCCCCUUGAGCUCCCAUCGCAUCCAAUCGAGGCCGAGAGGUCGUCCUCUUCGUCUCCGGCAAAUUUUUGCCGCCUCAACCCCCGGUCAAAUUCGACCAAGGCAGGGCCCUUCUCCCGUCUCCCGUGCCACCAUCUGCCUUGCCCCGACCCCGUGGAGCCACCCCACCUCUCAGCCUCGACCAGGAGCCACAUAGCCCAAACUUUCCCUUCUACCCGAAGCCGUCACCACCUCUGAGCUCGCGGUCGGCGAUUUCGUCCACCCCUCUGGUCAUGGCGACCACGUGGAGGACCAAUCUAAGGAGAUGUAUCCGUUCCCACCCUCGUUAGGACCCUAGGAGGUGUCCUCCGCCAGCGAGGAACCGACGGAGCCCCACCUUCCCUUUGGCCAGAGGAGGAAGACCACAGGCUUGACCGUAGUCAAACCUGCCCGUGGGCCCUCUUUGUCAGUGACAGGACCAAGCCACCGCCCGUGUAAGUGGAGACCCAUUCGACAGAAUUGCAUGCUUGGAAAGGAGGAACCUGAUGACAACCCCGGAACCUAGGCACCAAAAAAGCAACCGCAUGAGAUAGGAAUUAUCCAGGUUACCUGUUCCUGUGGGAAAUGGAGUCCCAUAGACGCUGGAGAUCCCCAAACCGCGUCCGCCAUCAACCAAUAGAAAUUUUUUGAUGCACCCUACAGACCUCCUUGGUCUUGUACCUCAAAUUUGUAAUUUGCUUGGACAUUUGUAUCUAGGAUUUGUGCACCAGCUAACAGUAUUCCUGGGGCUGGUAUGCACAAGGGCCAUUUUGAAGGGAAAUUAAAAUCCCAGAAAAACCUGUCCUGACACAUGGGGCCAAGAUGGCGUGGUUAAAGUAAUGACAUGUUUUAGAUAAGCUUUUACACAUG